rnacentral:lncRNA from 1 species
GAAAUCAAGCAGUGACGUGCCUCCUCUGUUCCUAACCCCAAAGCCGAAGCCACCGUGCACCUUACCAUAACCACCAUCGUCAGCCCCAAUAUGACCAUUAAAGUCCCCUCCAAUAACUAACUUCUUAGAUUGGGGAAUACUAGUCACUAGAUCAUCCAAGCGCUCCCAAAAGCGCCUCUUAGCCUCCUCGUCUAAGCCCGCUUGCGGCGCGUAAGCGCUGAUGAC